rnacentral:rRNA from 1 species
UUCGCGGGCAGUGUUAAUCGGAAUUACUGGGCGUAAAGCGAGCGCGGACGGCUGCUUGUCCACGAUGUGAAAUCCCCCGCCUCACCCUGGAAGCUGCGUUCGGAAAUGGGUGACUGGAGUGUAAAUCAGGGAGGUAGAAUUCCACGUGUAGCAGUGAAAUGCGUAGAGAUGUGGAGGAAUACCGAUGGCGAAGGCAGCCUCCUGGGAUAACACUGACGUUCAUGCUCGAAAGCGUGGGUAGCAAACAGGAUUAGAUACCCUGGUAGUCCACGCCCUAAACGAUGUCAAUUAGCUGUUGGGCAACUUGAUUGCUUAGUAGCGUAGCUAACGCGUGAAAUUGACCGCCUGGGGAGUACGGUCGCAAGAUUAAAACUCAAAGGAAUUGACGGGGACCCGCACAAGCGGUGGAUGAUGUGGAUUAAUUCGAUG